CAAGUACUCCCUCCGUCCGAAAAUACUUGUCAUCGAAAUGGAUAAAAAAGAUGUAUCUAGAACUAAUAUACAUCUAGAUACAUCCCCUUUUAUUCCUUUUGAUGACAAGUAUUUCCGGACGGAGGGAGUACUAC
rnacentral:pre_miRNA from 1 species